GAAAGUCAGUUUGUAAUAGAAAUUUCUCAUCAAUGAAACAAGUCGAGUUUUUGGGCAUCCGAUCAGAUGCAAGGUGAAUGAUGAGAUGGGAUUGGGAAAAAUCUCAGGUUCGAACCUAGUGGUUAACAAUAAGGUAGGCUUGAGAAAGAUUCUAGGCUCUAACCUGGAGUUAUAAGUAUACCGUUUGAUCCGAGAUCUUAUAACUCGCUAUUUG
rnacentral:misc_RNA from 1 species